ACGUAGCCGUAACCGCAAGGGGGGCCGGUCGUACCACGGUGCGUUUCGUGACUGGGGUG
rnacentral:rRNA from 1 species